rnacentral:rRNA from 1 species
CUGGCGGCGUGCCUAAUACAUGCAAGUCGAAACGCACUCUCGUUUAGAUUGAAGGAGCUUGCUCCUGAUUGAUAAACAUUUGAGUGAGUGGCGGACGGGUGAGUAACACGUGGGUAACCUGCCCUAAAGUGGGGGAUAACAUUUGGAAACAGAUGCUAAUACCGCAUAAAACCUAACACCGCAUGGUGUAGGGUUGAAAGAUGGUUUCGGCUAUCACUUUAGGAUGGACCCGCGGUGCAUUAGUUAGUUGGUGAGGUAAAGGCUCACCAAGACCGUGAUGCAUAGCCGACCUGAGAGGGUAAUCGGCCACACUGGGACUGAGACACGGCCCAGACUCCUACGGAGGCAGCAGUAGGGAAUCUUCCACAAUGGACGAAAGUCUGAUGGAGCAACGCCGCGUGAGUGAAGAAGGUUUUCGGAUCGUAAAACUCUGUUGUUGGAGAAGAAUGUAUCUGAUAGUAACUGAUCAGGUAGUGACGGUAUCCAACCAGAAAGCCACGGCUAACUACGUG